GCAGUAGGGAAUAUUGGGCAAUGGGCGAGAGCCUGACCCAGCCAUGCCGCGUGCAGGAAGAAGGCUUUCUGAGUCGUAAACUGCUUUUGACAGGGAAGAAUAAGCUUCACGUGUGGAGCGAUGACGGUACCUGCAGAAUAAGCACCGGCUAACUCCGUGCCAGCAGCCGCGGUAAUACGGAGGGUGCGAGCGUUGUCCGGAUUUAUUGGGUUUAAAGGGUGCGUAGGCGGCUCCUUAAGUCCGGGGUGAAAGCCCGUUGCUCAACAACGGAACUGCCCUGGAUACUGAGGAGCUUGAGUACAGACGAGGUUGGCGGAAUGGACAGAGUAGCGGUGAAAUGCAUAGAUACUGUCCAGAACCCCGAUUGCGAAGGCAGCUGACUAGGCUGUUACUGACGCUGAGGCACGACAGCGUGGGGAGCGAACAGGAUUAGA
rnacentral:rRNA from 1 species